GGAGGAGUAGCGAAGUGGCUAAACGAGACGGACUGUAAAUCCGUUCCUUAGGGUUCAGUGGUUCGAAUCCACUCUCCUCCA
rnacentral:tRNA from 1 species